rnacentral:lncRNA from 1 species
CUCUGGUUCAAGCAGGUCUCACCUCCACAGGCUCCUUUCCCAUCCCAGCAGUGAGCUCUGCUGGUUCCCUGCUCCUCAGACCUGAACACUGCAGAAACUCCACUCCACCCUUGCUUUCUGAUUAACUCAUUCUCCAUUUGGCUCAGCUGGGAAUGUGUUUGAUCUCCUGGAGAUACACUCCAGCCAGCUCCAUGGUCCUCAGUGAUCUCUGCAAACAGCUCACGCAGCUCAGAUGGGAUUUAGCUGAGAAUCCAUAUCCUGAAGCUGGGUUUCUGAAGUUUUCUUCACACCAGGAUACCAGGAUGGUACCUGCAUAACCUAAUUCUUAAGCUGCUGAACUGCAGCUCAGGCCUUCUGGCUCCUCUCUGCCUUCUUCAGAUAAGGAGGGUCACCCAGCCCCAGAUCCCAGUGCUCCCAGACAGGCUGUUCCUGACCAGGCCCUGCAGCAGUUCCUCAGUGCCAGGUACAGCAGCAGGGGAGCAGCUGGUGACAGGGACACAGCACAGGCUGUCUCUGGCUGAUUGAUGCCUCUGGCCACCUUAGCCCUCCACCAUUCCUGGAGGUCCUGCUAAAGCUCAAAGAGGCCCUGCAGGGGCCCAGCUCUCAGCUGGCCCAGGUGGUCAGCACCAGGUGGUGUUAGUUGGUUUGAUUUUAAAUCCCUUCGGAGAUUGUUUACAAAGGCUUUGUGGUCCAUGAGAAGGCCCACACCACUUUUAAGGGUGGUGUGGCCAGAGGCAGUGAAUUCCUCCUUGCUUUGGUUGUAGAACUCUGCCUUACAGUUCCCAUCCAGGGAAGUGAGCCAAAGACAGCUGCCUCUUCCAAAGAAAGGCCUUGUGGAGGCUGCAUCACCCUCUGAUGUUUUGAAAUUUCCAGUGGACCACAUCAGUCACCGAGAAGUGAGAAGUGGCAUCUAAACUCAGCCUUUCACCAAGAAGUAGAACAUCAUCUGUGGCUGGGAUACCAUCUUGUUUCAAAAAUCCCACAUCUGUCAGAAUCCUUUUGGCUCCUAUUAAAACACAUAUUGACUAAAAAUAAUUGCUUGUUUCCUGUUGUUUCAGUUAGUUUGCUCUGGGUACCUGGCAGCAUUUUG